rfam:Xenorhabdus khoisanae strain MCB contig008, whole genome shotgun sequence.
AAUGACUAUCAAUCUGUCUUUCUUAUUUUUCUUUUUCACCUUCUCAUAAGGAGGUUUUUUCGUUUUAAAAAGAAAUCAAGAAGACGAACAAAAACCUCCCUACCGAUGGGAGGUUUUUUUGUU